CCAAGGUUGAGGAAGGAGCUGGGACUCGAGACCCUGCUCCACCCUGCCGGCUCCCGCUCGGCCCCAUUACCUGGCAAGCCCCGGCAUCCUCGACCCACGUCCGUGGCGCUGCCUGGGUAGGAACGCGCCUGAAGACCGCGCAGGACACCACCACUGGGCAUCCUGGGCUUGAUUCCUGCACUACAUUCCAGAUCUGAGGAGGCAUAGCUGCCCCGGGGUUACUGGGCUUGGACUUGGACGAGAGCAGUGGUAGGAAGGAUCUCAUAUAAGUCAUGUAAGACAUAGAAUGUUCAGAUCAACUGAAGCUGAAACAAGCCUUUGGCAUCAUAUACAACCCAGAGAGGGACCCAGGUUAUCCAGCUGAUCCCAGAGAACCCGAGGCUAUGGGUGAUGUCAAAGGUGUGGAAGAAUUGGGUUGGAAAGACCAGCAGGACAUAGACAGGGUAAGGUCCCUUGAAUGCUUGGUUUAUGCGCCUGGCUGAAGGAGACACCCAUGGCCUUGCAGAGGGAUCGGUCUGGUGGGAAAGCAGGCACGACCCACCCCAGGCCCGUGGUUUCCCUGCAACAAGUCCAGUGGCUUUCUGGGGGACACUUUUCCUGAAGAAGUGAUUCAAGAGCAGCAUAAGCCAGGUACUAUGGAAUGUUGGGUGAGAUGACUUGAGGACCUACAAGGCCUGCCCCACAGUCUUCCAGCCUCCGACUCUCCAGCCCUCGGCGUG
rnacentral:lncRNA from 1 species